CAAUUACCUCCCACCAGGUCUCUCCCACCACAUGUGAGGAUUAUGGGAGCUACAAUUCAAGAUGAGAUUUGGGUGGGGGCACAGCCAAACUAUAUCAUACUCUGUUUCUCUCAUCUGUCUGAGACUCCAAUGGUAUGACUAUUGCACCUUUUGUUACUGUCCCACAGGUCCCUGAGGGUCUCUUUAUUUGUUUUCAUUCUAUUUUUCUGUUGCUCAGGUUGGGUAAAUUCUAUUAAUUUUUCCUCAAGUAUGCUGGUCAUCUCCUUUGUCAUCUCCACUUUACUGUUGAGCCCAUCUAGUCAGUGUUCCACCUUUGGGAUUUUUCAGUUCUACGAUUUUGAUUUGGAUAGUUUUUGUAACUUCUAUUUCUUUGUGGUGAUUUUUAAAAAUUUCUUUCCAAUCAGUGUUCCAUCGUUGUGAUUUUUCGGCAGGUGUCACAGGGGCUCCCCAGGUGCCCCCAGCUGUCCCUGUGUCUCUGGCAUGGGGGUCCCAGGGCUCACAGGGAAAGAGAUGCUUCCCUAGGCACUGAUUGUUACUGAAGGUCUCAGUUGAUCCUCUUUCCUAGCAAUGCCAAGUCCUUCACGUGGUGUCAGAGGAACUCCGGGUUGAUCCCAAGAGCAAUGAGCCUCCCUGGGCUGCCUUCUGCCAUUGUGUUUGAGAAGUGCUCGGUCUGAGUGGUCUUCAUAGUUGGUUAGGGACGUAAGGUGCCCUGCCAUGUGUUAUCUUUUCAGUCCUGGGUUCCCAAGGCAGCUCCCCUUCUUUGCACUGCCAGCCAGAGUCCCCCUUGGGUGUUUCCUGCCUCCUGCCCGGGGUUCACAGUCACGAUCUGCAGGAGGAAUGGGCAGAAGCAGCUCAAACCAUGGUGUUCAGCCCAGACAGCUGCAAUUUGGCACUUGACUCCGUGAUGCCAGGGUGUACUCAUGACGUGUGCUUCUCCAGUUCUUCUCCAGGGCAGCCUGGACGCGAUGCUAAUCCGGUACCAAGAGCACCCUCACACCAGCACGCUAGUCUCCAAAUGUCAUCAGUUACAGGAAUCCAGGGCUGCUUGGCCUAUUGGCAGAUUCCAGGUGUAGGGCGGGAAGUAGAAAGGACAGCUCUGGAGCAUCUGUCACCUCAGACAGCGAGGAGGUGCUCGGUGACAACCAGAACCAGGUCACAGGACACAGGAGCCCACAGGAGAGGCCCCCACUGGCCCAGCAGGGGCCAAUCUGAACAUCCAUAAGGGUGGCGAGGCCAUGGGUGGAAAAGCGUCACUCUCAUUAAUGCCUAUGAGUUCCUAAUUGUGCUAAAACAAUCACAACCAUCAGCAUCAACCUUCAGAGGUUGCUAGGGAACCAGCUCAUUAUUCAAAAAUCUGCAUAAAAGGUAAGAAAACUGAGCAUUUAUCUUGCCUUCCCUAAGGGACAAAGCCCUUCAGAGCAUCCAUGUAGUCGAUGCAUAUAUAAUAUUGGGCAAAAGGAAGAGGCUAUUGCCAGAUCCAGGAGGCUGUGGGUUCUAGCGGCAGACCCCCAAGACACCCCAAGGAAUGGGGCAGAAAAUGGCUCUCGACAUGCCCAUGCCCCUUCAUGCCACAUUUCUUGAGGAGCUCUGAUAUGAAGUGGAAGAGGGUGGGGAUUCCCAGGACUGUGCCUGAAGAGCCCUGCAUUUUAAGGGGGUGGAGCAG
rnacentral:lncRNA from 1 species